GACGAACGCUGGCGGCGUGCUUAACACAUGCAAGUCGAACGGAAAGGCCCUGCUUUUGUGGGGUGCUCGAGUGGCGAACGGGUGAGUAACACGUGAGUAACCUGCCCUUGACUUUGGGAUAACUUCAGGAAACUGGGGCUAAUACCGGAUAGGAGCUCCUGCUGCAUGGUGGGGGUUGGAAAGUUUCGGCGGUUGGGGAUGGACUCGCGGCUUAUCAGCUUGUUGGUGGGGUAGUGGCUUACCAAGGCUUUGACGGGUAGCCGGCCUGAGAGGGUGACCGGCCACAUUGGGACGGAGAUACGGCCCAGACUCCUACGGGAGGCAGCAGUGGGGAAUAUUGCACAAUGGGCGGAAGCCUGAUGCAGCAACGCCGCGUGCGGGAUGACGGCCUUCGGGUUGGAAACCGCUUUCGCCUGUGACGAAGCGUGAGUGACGGUAAUGGGUAAAGAAGCACCGGCUAACUACGU
rnacentral:rRNA from 1 species